AUGUUAGAACACCGCAGCAUGUAUUUGAGAUAUAAAGAUAAUAAAUGUGAU
rnacentral:guide_RNA from 1 species